AGGGAUCAUUACUGAGUUACCGCUCUAUAACCCUUUGUGAACAUACCUACAACUGUUGCUUCGGCGGGUAGGCCGUCCCCUGAAAAGGACGCCUCCCGGCCCGGACCGGACCCCCUGUGGGGCCGGACUCGGCGCCCGCCGGAGGAUAACCAAACGCUAUUUUAACGACGUUUCUUCUGAGUGGCAUAAGCAAAAUAAUCAAAACUUUUAACAACGGAUCUCUUGGUUCUGGCAUCGAUGAAGAACGCAGCGAAAUGCGAUAAGUAAUGUGAAUUGCAGAAUUCAGUGAAUCAUCGAAUCUUUGAACGCACAUUGCGCCCGCCAGCAUUCUGGCGGGCAUGCCUGUUCGAGCGUCAUUUCAACCCUCAAGCUCUGCUUGGUGUUGGGGCUCUACGGUCGACGUAGGCCCUCAAAGGUAGUGGCGGACCCUCCCGGAGCCUCCUUUGCGUAGUAACAUUUCGUCUCGCACUGGGAUCCGGAGGGACUCUUGCCGUAAAACCCCCCAAUUUUUCAAGGUUGACCUCGGAUCAGGUAGGAAUACCCGCUGAACUUAA
rnacentral:rRNA from 1 species